UCUUUCUUGUAUGUCAUGUCCUCCUCAUUUAUCGAGAUUCGAUCCUUAAGUCGAUAGAGCCCAAAUCGAUAAAGCCCCAAAGGGCAUGAAUAUUAAUCUAGAUUUCAGUCUGAUAAAACCUCGAAGGGCAUGAAUAUCAAUCCAGAUUUUAGUCUGAUAAAAUUUUGAAGGGCAUAUAUAUUAAUCUAGAUUUAGUCCGAUAAAGCUCCGAAGAGCACAUAUAUUAAUCCAGAUUUUAGUCUAGUAAAGCUCUGAAGGGCACAUAUAUUAAUCCAAAUUUUAAUCCGAUAAAGCUCCAGAGGCCACAUAUAUUAAUCCAGAUUUCAAUUUGGUAAAGCUCCGAAGGGCACAUAUAUUAAUCCGGAUUUCAAUCUGGUAACACCUCGAAGGACACAUAUAUUAAUCCGGAUUUCAAUCCGAUAAAGCUUCGAAGGGCACAUAUGUCAAUCCGGAUUACAGUCCGAUAA
rnacentral:lncRNA from 1 species